rnacentral:rRNA from 1 species
GGCAUUGCCUCAGUAACGGCGAGUGAAGCGGCAACAGCUCAAAUUUGAAAUCUGGCCCCCUCGGGGGGCCCGAGUUGUAAUUUGCAGAUUGUGCUUUUGGCGAGGCUGCCUUCCGAGUUCCCUGGAACGGGACGCCACAGAGGGUGAGAGCCCCGUCUGGUCGGCCGCCGAGCCUCUGUAAAGCACCUUCGACGAGUCGAGUAGUUUGGGAAUGCUGCUCAAAAUGGGAGGUAUAUGUCUUCUAAAGCUAAAUACCGGCCAGAGACCGAUAGCGCACAAGUAGAGUGAUCGAAAGAUGAAAAGCACCUUGAAAAGGGGGUUAAACAGUACGUGAAAUUGUUGAAAGGGAAGCGCUCGCGACCAGACUUGGGCCCGGCGGAUCACCCAGCGUUCUCGCUGGGGCACUCCGCCUCGUCCCAGGCCAGCAUCGGUUCGUGCCGGGGGACAAAGGCGGCGGGAACGUGGCUCCCCCGGGAGUGUUAUAGCCCGCCGCGCAAUGCCCUGGGGCGGACCGAGGAUUCGCGCAUCUGCAUGGAUGCUGGCGUAAUGGUCACCAGCGACCCGUCUUGAAACACGGACCAAGGAGUCGUCUUCGUAUGCGAGUGUUCGGGUGUCAAACCCCC